GGACUGUGGGAUCCAUCCUGGUCUGGACGGGAUGGACGCUCUGCCGUACAUCGACCUGAUCGACCCGGCUGAAAUUGACCUGCUGCUCAUCAGCCACUUCCACCUGGAUCACUGUGGAGCUCUGCCCUGGUUCCUGCAGAAGACCAGCUUUAAAGGACGCACCUUCAUGACUCACGCCACCAAGGCCAUCUACCGCUGGCUGCUGUCCGACUACGUCAAAGUCAGUAACAUCUCUGCAGACGACAUGUUGUACACGGAGACGGACCUGGAGGAGAGCAUGGAGAAGAUGGAGACCAUCAACUUCCACAGUGCGGACGGUAACAAGUGGUGAACACAGCGCGGGCUCUUCAGUCUCCACCGACCCUGGGUCUCCCCGACUGUAACACACAUUUCACCCAGACUGUUGACGAAAAGGGGGGGUACAUGACCUCAGUACCACUACAAGACCAUGGGGGACGACUGAGACCUGGAGCUUAUUUUUCAUCCAAACUGGACUCUGUUGCAGCCAAACUGCCUGAGAGCUGUGGCGGCUGCUGAAAAAGCAGCCAUGGCAUCACGUGACAUUGUGGGUUAUUCAGACUUGACAUUGUUGGUUCCACAUGCUGUCGAUGAUUUUGCUUGAACAAAAAACAUCUCAUCUCUCCACAUCCAGGUGGCUGAGAUACAAGACCGUGUUGCUUGAUAUAUCUAACAUUACUGCACUGUACUGAAUCCUGCUACUCUCCUCCCAACUCCAGGUGAAGGACAGCCGCAUGAUUGUGUUGCAGUCAUAGCAGAAACCUGCUCUCUAAGGGCAGACUUGCAGGAGACUCCUCUAACAAACCCAGACAUGGAGUUGUUUGUGGACGGCUCAGCAUCACGUGAUCCAGCUCCUGGUCAAAAACACCAUCCCGAAGGCCGCAGAGAAGAAACUGCACGAUCUGGAGCCAGGGGACUGGAUUGUGGGAAAGGACUUCAGGAGAAAGGGCUCGCAGGUGGACCGGGCCAUUUCAGAUACUGCUAACAACAGAAACAGCAGUAAAAGUGGCUGAAAGAGCAACUUGGAUUCACGCCACCCACUGCAAACGAGUGCCAAAGCAACCAAAAGGCCUCAAACCAGGCGAAGAUGGAGAUCAGUGAUUGAGCUGAGCUUUCCCCUGCCUUGUGUUCCUAGGGAGGGAGGGGAGUGGAGGUCUCUGAGACCACCUAGAACCACUAAUCUCCCAAACACUCACCGCGGGCACACUGAAACCAACAGAUGGCUCUGGAGAGGUGACGGACCGAGACAAAACGGAGGCGUUGUUCUGCUCACUGUCAUCAUUUCCAAACAUGAAAACAACAAACUUGGCCUGACUGAGGGAAAGUUCCAGGCCGAAGAGGAGGAGAUGCACGUCCUCCCUGACAGCCCGGCUGGGCUGAAAGACAAUGCAUGGUAUGCAACCACUUCAAGAAAAGUAACCAAUCAGAGCUGUUAUGCGUGCGCACAGCUCCCUCAUGGAGUGGGGAACUCCAUACCAGUGAAACCCAGACCAAUAAAUGUUUCAGAGACACUAGGAGCCCUGUUAACCUUCACUCAAGGGUUUCCCAGGGUGGGCCGAGAAGGAUAUGACCAAGACACUUAACUGUGUAACAUCAGCAUGGUCAACUUUAGGGUUAGGUUCUGGAACACGUCUCAGAUAACCACCAGAUGUACCUUGGACACGGGUGUCUUUCUAUAGAUCCAGAUUGAGUGUCCCCUAGGGAACACUGAAAGACACCAUGUUUCUUUGAUGAGAUAGGACUCCGACCCUGAGACUAAGAUAAAAGCUGCAUGACCUGUUACGCUGCAGCUCACUCGGAUGAUACUCUCGGAUGUGUAUGUGUCCCCUUGAAUUCCUUCUGCAGAAGACUUGAAUAAAAUUCACAGAAAGACAA